rnacentral:ncRNA from 1 species
GGCAAACCCGUUGAAAAACGGGGACGCAAAGUUUAGUGUCUAACCCGCGUAUGCGGUAUGAUUGACUGACUG